rnacentral:rRNA from 1 species
GACGAACGCUGGCGGCAGGCCUAACACAUGCAAGUCGAACGCUCCGCAAGGGGAGUGGCGCACGGGUGAGUAACACGUGGGAACCUACCUUCUGGUACGGGACAACCAAGGGAAACUCUGGCUGAUACCGUAUACGACCUCCGGGUGAAAGAUUGAUCGCCGGAAGAGGGGCCCGCGUCCGAUUAGGUAGUUGGUGAGGUAACGGCUCACCAAGCCUGCGAUCGGUAGCUGGUCUGAGAGGANGACCAGCCACACUGGGACUGAGACACGGCCCAGACUCCUACGGGAGGCAGCAGUGGGGAAUAUUGGACAAUGGGCGAAAGCCUGAUCCAGCAAUGCCGCGUGUGUGAAGAAGGCCUGCGGGUUGUAAAGCACUUUCAGUGGGAAGAAAAGCUUGGUGUGAAUAGCGCCGAGUCUUGACGUUACCC